GCCAAGGUAGCUCAGUGGUAGAGUCUCGCAGUCCUGCGAGAAAAAGCCUUGUGUCGGCAGUUCGAUUCUGCCUCUUGGCA
rnacentral:tRNA from 1 species